rnacentral:tRNA from 1 species
GUGGGUAUAGCUCAGUGGUAGAGCACAUGCUUAGCAUGCAUGAGGUCCUGGGUUCAAUCCUCAGUACCACCA